AUUAUGGGCUUAAAAACCAUUCGCACAAUUAUUGCACGAUUUUUAUUUUUCGUUGUUAUUCAUGCUUAUUUGCUUUUAGAUACAUUUUUAGGUGCUCUAAGGAUGUUGAGGAAUUACGUAUUAAUGAUCUUUAUAUUUGUAUAUUAUUUGUGAAGUUGUUAUUGGCGCUUGAUGUGAUUAAUUGUGUGCUAACAUGUUUUAGCUGAUUAAUUGUGUGCUAACAUGUUUUAGCUGUUAACAGGGGGAGCACUCGAAGCCUAAUGCUUUUAAAAUUUUAUAUUUUGCUUUGAAAAUGAUUUUCGCUAGAGUUGAGCAUCAAAAUAUGAAAAAGCAAUGUUUUAGCAAGUUUUUAACUGGAAAUGAAUUUGAAUAUCUUCAAUCCAAUGUCUUCAACUUGUUCAAACAAAGAAACAUGGUAAAACUUGAAUUGUUUUAAUUUUUCACAGUGUUAAGUGUAACCCAUAAAGGAUUUUACAGCUUAAAACAUCAUAUAUAAUUUUUGAACAAUUCUGGGUGUGAAAGCUAUUCGCACAAUUUCUUUGUUUAAGUUAUAAAAGAUUUUGGAGCUUAAAACAUUAGACUUUGUUUCUGAACAAUUUUGGGAAUAAAAAUCUUUUGCACAAUUAUUGCAUGAUUUUAAUUUUUCGUUGUGUUUCAUACUUAUUUUCUUUUAGAUAUAUUUUUAGGCGCUCUAAGAAAGUUGAGGAAUUACUUAUGAACGAUCUUUAUAUUUGGAUAUUAUUUGUGAAGUUGUUAUUAGUGCUAGAUGUGAUUAAUUGUGUGCUAAAUUGUUUUAGAAGUUUUAUAAGGACAGCACUCGAAGCCUAAUGCUUUUGAAAUUUUAUGUUUUGCUUUGAAAAUGAUUUUCACUUGUAUCAAGCUUUAAAAUAUGAAAACAUUGUUUUAGCAGGUUUUUAAAUGCAAAUGAAUUUGACUAUCUUGAAUCCAAUGUUUUAAACUUGCUCAAACAAAGAAACAUAGCAAAACUUGCAUUGGUUUUAAUUUUUCAUAGUGUUAAGUGUAUGUUAUAAAGGAUUUUGGAGCUUAAACUAUUAGACUUUGUUUCUGAAAAUUAUGGGCUUAAAACCAUUCGCACAAUUAUUGCACGAUUUUAUUUUUCGUUGUUAUUCAUACUUAUUUGCUUUUAGAUACAUUUUUAGGUGCUCUAAGGAUGUUGAGGAAUUACGUAUUAAUGAUCUUCAUAUUUGGAUAUUAUUUGUGAAGUUGUUAUUGGUGCUUGAUGUGAUUAAUUAUGUGCUAAAUUGUUUUAGCAAUUUAUAGGGGGAGCACUCGAAGCCUAAUGGUUUUGAAAUUUUAUGUUUUGCUUUGAAAAUGAUUUUCACCG
rnacentral:lncRNA from 1 species